CACUAUCUAUUCAUAACAAACAGCUGUACUGCUAUCUCUGCCAGAGGAUUUUGUAAACUUUUGGAUUUGAAACGGAGAAGGCUGUAAGGCACAGAGAUAGAACAAAAUUGCUCAUAUACUGCACUGAUUUCAGCCAAAUACAUAGGUGCAUGGCUAGAUUUUCUUUACUAAGGUUGAAGGAUUUCCCAACAUAGAGAAGAAUUAAUAUUUUGAGAAGAAAGUUUUCUAGGAAAUGUGAAUAGAAAAUGCUGUUGGGCAAUCUUUCAGGAGGGUGACAAAAGACCAACCAAUGAAUCCCCAAAGAAGGUACAGUCGAUCAGCCAGACAUUAUGGGCUUGCUGCCAUUACUGGAUGAGGUUCUCUGGUCUGCGUUACACAGGAUGUCAGAUUAGAGGAUCAUAAUGCUCUCUCUACAACUCAAAAUCUAUGAAAUGCAGUGCCAUUGUGGACUAGCUCAAGGAGGAACAUUCAUGUAUACCCAGAAGGAACCUCAUGUAUCCAAGAGAUCCAUCUGCUGUGGUGCAAGGCAAACAGCUCACCAUCUUCUGGCUCACAGCCAUCUUGAUGAAGCAGAAUGGAGAGAGUGGCCAGAAGAUGACAUCACAGAAAAUGCAACAGGAGAUAAUAUUUGCUGCUAAAAAUAGAAGACAUCUGCUUACAUUGAUUGCUGCUUCUGCUCAAAAAAGCAGUAAUCUCAGAAGAUUUCCAGUUGCUGACCAGGUUAAAAGAACACACAGCACUUCCCAGGAGUCUCCAAAUCUGAGAUUGCAGGGGCAGGCCUGCACUAGGGUCAAGCUCUAGGCAGACCCGGGGCUUGUCUACACUUACAGCACAGCUGCACCGCUGUAGCACUUAGUGAAGAUGCUAGCUACGCAAAAGGGAGAGCUUCUCUCCAUAACCAUUAUACAAUGUAGUUAUUUCAUUUAGUCUUUCAGUUCCCCAUAUCAGAAUCCACUGUUGAUUUUAUUUCCUCAUCUCACCUGCCUUUAUUACUCUUAUGUCCCCCCUCCUACUUUGUUGACUGAUUCUGCUUCCUCAAAUUCUCUCUCUAUUCUUAAAAGACAGCUAUAUGGAUAACUGGAAAACUGUCUCCCUGUUGCAGGGCUGGUACACCUUAUCACCCCUGGGUGAGGCUGUAUGACAGCCCCUGGCUUCCAGGCGGUACAGUCCAAUGAUCAGGGUCAAUAGGGUGUCCUCCCUCGCAGGGCUGCAUGGCCUAGUGCCCAGAGUCAAUAUGGAGGCCCUCCCUCUCAGGGCUGCAUAGCCCAAUGGCCACAGUCUAUAUGGAUCCCUUCCUUCACAGUGUGUGGCCUAACGUCCAGAGUCCAUAGGGUUGCCCUCCUCCACAAUGCUGCAUGGCCCAGUGACCAGAGUCAAUAUGGCUGCCUUCCUCACAGGGCUGGGUGGCCCAAUAGCCAGAGUCAAUGGGGCUUGAGCAGCAGGGCAGCAUGGCCAGACAGCCGGGGUGGCUAAGGAAGUGGGCAGCAGCCAGGAAAGGGGGACCCAGGCCCUCCCUACUCCAGGUCCAACCCAGGGCCCUGGCAGUGCUGAGGUUGUCCGCCACCUGCUCAGUGGGGAUCCUGCUGAAACAUACUGAGCCAAGUCCCGGUUAUAUGACUGGUUACCCUUUAAAUUUCCCUGGGUUACUUCCAACCUGUUCCUCCACAGCUAGGUGUCUCAGGGAUCCCAUGGCUUCGCCUCCCUCAACAGUGUCUGGGGGGUCACUAGUUGUCACAGUCUGACUGGCCUCUGUGUCCUUGAGUGUUGGCAGUCCCUCUGCAGGAACCUGCAGUGCACCUCUGUUCAGCCCCGACUGAGCUGAGUUGCUCCAUUUAUAUCCGGGUUCCAGCUAGAGCAUGCUCAGCAGAGCCAAGGGGACAAGACCUCCUCGGCCCACAAACUGGGAUUAACCCCUGUUGAACCAGCGCAGGGCUGGUCUACCCUGUCACACUCCCCCUUCAGAAAAUUUAAAAUUCUCUGAGGAAAAAAAAAACCCUGAAAACUUACUUUAUUGUUUCAUCUGAAAAUGUUUCAGUUUUGGGGUAUUUUUUUGAGGAAAGCAGACACUUUCUGUAAAAAAUUUCCAUUUUUUCAUUAAAAAAAGAUGAGAUGGAAAAUUUUUGGCCAGCUUUAGCCUUUUAUGUACAAUCUUGAGUAAGGGUGUAGUUCAUACAUAUACACCAAAGGAUCAACCAUAAAGUGAGAGAGUAAUACUUA